CGGCGGCCCAGGGUGGGCAAGUUUCUCUCCGUGCUUUGGAACACCUGAGAUGGUCUGAGGAAGAUGCUAACUCAGAACGCAGGUCUGAAACUCAGUGGAAACUGGAUCCUUGGGAAUCCGUCUUGCAGGUGCCAGUUUGAUUUUCCAGCAAAUUACUCAAUGCUUUUGGAGUCAGGAUGAUGUCAGUUGGCUCCCGCUUACCUCCUGUGCUGCUAUUACAGUAUUACUAAGGCGCUCGAGGUCCUAUAUGAAAGGUAUUGUAUCAACUCAUUAUUAUUAGAUAAAGAAGCAGUGACUU